GACCUACUGACAAGAUUCCGUCCACAUCCGAAAGGGCCCAAAACACGUUUGAUCAAUAAAAAGCGAAAAGCGGACAGCAUUUCACUCUCUGCCUCAUUUACGUACGAGAAUCGUUAAUGUUUACUGCACUCGACGCGACGAUGACCUAGUUGACCUGUUCACGACAAUGACUUCACGCCUGACUGACGGACUCGUACGAUACGUGGAAAUCACUUUCUGAUAACAACUUGUCGGCAGGUAAGAUCACCCCAGAUAUUACUUACGAAUGUGUCAAAUAAUAGCAGCUUGACGAUUAAGGUCACUUAACGUGUCUUCUGUUCGACGACAGCACAAAUAUUCAUAGACCCCUGCACCACAGUCGCAAUGUAUGUCCCGUACCUGCCACUGCUGCAGACUGACUGAUAGACGAGAGGGGUACGUAUCGAUGACUGUGGUUAAUCAGCGUGCGGCGGAGGCUCCCUCUCCUCCUUUGCGUACGUAAGGAAAAAAAAGAUUCUGCUUAUGGUUUCUCUCGAACGGCGGGGGCCGGCAGUUGGACGGUGGAGGGGUGGGGGGAAAGAAAGAAAAAGGUAGAGAAGACUCUCGGCUGCAUUUGACCUACAUUAACAGGCGGGAGAGCUAGGUGGGGAGCGGAUAUGGAGAAAGGACUGAAACCUAUAGAAAUGUGUGUACAAGGAGGUGGGAUGGUGGAAAGGAGAGGGAAGAGAAUGCUAUGAAGAGGUAGAUACGGCAUAGGUAGGGAGGAACGGAGAAAGUGCGCGCUGAAAUGGAGAAAGCAGGCGAAAAA